rnacentral:rRNA from 1 species
GACGAACGCUGGCGGCGUGCCUAAUACAUGCAAGUAGAACGCUGAAGAGAGGAGCUUGCUCUUCUUGGAUGAGUUGCGAACGGGUGAGUAACGCGUAGGUAACCUGCCUGGUAGCGGGGGAUAACUAUUGGAAACGAUAGCUAAUACCGCAUAAAAUGGAUUAUCGCAUGAUAAUCCAUUGAAGGGUGCAAAUGCAUCACUACCAGAUGGACCUGCGUUGUAUUAGCUAGUUGGUGGGGUAACGGCUCACCAAGGCGACGAUACAUAGCCGACCUGAGAGGGUGAUCGGCCACACUGGGACUGAGACACGGCCCAGACUCCUACGGGAGGCAGCAGUAGGGAAUCUUCGGCAAUGGACGGAAGUCUGACCGAGCAACGCCGCGUGAGUGAAGAAGGUUUUCGGAUCGUAAAGCUCUGUUGUAAGAGAAGAACGAGUGUGAGAGUGGAAAGUUCACACUGUGACGGUAUCUUACCAGAAAGGGACGGCUAACUACGUG